GUGGGGAAUCUUCCGCAAUGGACGAAAGUCUGACGGAGCAACGCCGCGUGAGUGAUGAAGGUCUUCGGAUUGUAAAGCUCUGUUAAUCGGGACGAAAGAGCCUAGUGUGAAUAAUGCUAGGAAGUGACGGUACCGGAAUAGAAAGCCACGGCUAACUACGUGCCAGCAGCCGCGGUAAUACGUAGGUGGCAAGCGUUGUCCGGAAUUAUUGGGCGUAAAGCGCGCGCAGGCGGAUCUGCCAGUCUGUCUUAAAAGUUCGGGGCUUAACCACGUGAUGGAAUGGAAACUACAGAUCUAGAGUAUCGGAGAGGAAAGUGGAAUUCCUAGUGUAGCGGUGAAAUGCGUAGAUAUUAGGAAGAACACCAGUGGCGAAGGCGACUUUCUGGACGAAAACUGACGCUGAGGCGCGAAAGCCAGGGGAGCGAACGGGAUUAGAAACCCGGGUAGUCC
rnacentral:rRNA from 1 species